CAUUAAGAUAAUAAGGGCGUAUGGUGGAUGCCUUGGCACCGAAAGCCGAUGAAGGACGUGGCAAGCUGCGAUAAGCCGUGUGGAGCCGCAAGCGAGCUUUGAUGCACGGAUCUCCGAAUGGGGAAACCCGGCGGGCGUAAUGGCCCGUCACCCCCGUCUGAACACAUAGGGCGGGAGGAGGGAACCCGGGGAAAUGACACAUCUGAGUACCCGGAGGAAAAUAAAGAAAGUCUCGAUUCCCUGAGUAGUGGCGAGCGAAAGGGGAGAUAGCCCAAACCUGUUGCGUGAAAGCCUGCGGGCGUUGCGCAGUGGGGGUUGUAGGACCAACCUGGUCGUCCCGCAGGGCGGCCGAGGAGUUACAAAUCGCGCGGGUAGUCGAAUGGCGCAGGAAAGCCCGGCCGUAGAGGGUAAUAGCCCCGUAGACGAAACUCGCGUGACUCCUAGUUGGCACCUGAGUAGAUCCGGACACGUGAAACCCGGAUCGAAUCCGCGGGGACCACCCCGCAAGGCUAAAUACUAACGGUGACCGAUAGUGAACCAGUACCGUGAGGGAAAGGUGAAAAGUACCCCGCAAGGGGGGUGAAAUAGUACCUGAAACCAUACGCUUACAAGCGGUCGGAGCGGUAGCUUUUGCUGCCGUGACGGCGUACUUUUUGCAUAACGGGCCAGCGAGUUGCUGGUGUCUGGCGAGGUUAAGCUUAGGCGAGCCGAAGCGAAAGCGAGUCUGAAUAGGGCGUACAGUCAGAUGCCGCAGACCCGAAACCGGGUGAGCUAUCCAUGGCCAGGCUGAAGCGGGGGUAAGACCUCGUGGAGGGCCGAACCGACCUGGGUUGAAAACCGGGCGGAUGAGCUGUGGAUAGGAGUGAAAGGCUAAUCAAACCCGGCGAUAUCU
rnacentral:rRNA from 1 species